rnacentral:rRNA from 1 species
UACGUAGGGACCAAGCGUUGUUCGGAUUUACUGGGCGUAAAGGGCGCGUAGGCGGCAAUUCAAGUCAGCUGUGAAAUCUCCGGGCUUAACUCGGAACGGUCAGCUGAUACUGCUUUGCUAGAGUGCAGAAGGGGCAAUCGGAAUUCUUGGUGUAGCGGUGAAAUGCGUAGAUAUCAAGAGGAACACCUGAGGUGAAGACGGGUCUCUGGGCCGUAACUGACGCUGAGGAGCGAAAGCGUGGGGAGCGAACAGG